AUGGGAUUCAGGCUCAGAAGCAAUAUCUGAUGUCUUAGCAGUGGGAUCUAUAGGCUCUCUGCUCUAUGUCACAAUGCUGGUGCCACAGCCUUUCUGGACCCAUAAUUGCCAAGACACCUUCCGUGUUAGCUAGCAAAGCUCUGAUUUCUGGUUGGCCAGGACCAUGGCAAGAGUAAUUCAAACACACCCAGGAAUGCAGAACAAACCUGACUCUGAAAAAUGAAAAUAUUCCAUGAAGACCUUCAAGAACUUGGGUCCAGGCUGCAAAACCCAGGACUUCUUCCCUCACCAACGUUCUAGGAAAAACACUGAGAGACAGUAGCCAUUUUUCCUGUAUGGAGACAUGCUGUGCUCUGUUAGCCCAGGAUGUCUCUGCCACACACCUGAGCCAUCCCUUUCCCACCAGAGUAUCAAAAGUCCUUACUAGUGUCCAUCUUCACCUUGAAAAAGAGAGAAUCUACAAAACAGAGCUACCUGCCUUGAAUUACUUUGAACACUUGUGAAUCCAGCCAAUUGGGAAGGAUAACUAAUGAAAUUUAUGAAAAAACAAUGUAUUUAAUGAUUUUUAUGAAAUUUAUGUAUUUAAUGAAAUAAAUCAACCUUGGUAGAAAA